rnacentral:rRNA from 1 species
UACGGAGGGUGCAAGCGUUAAUCGGGAUUACUGGGCGUAAAGCGUGCGCAGGCGGUUUGUUAAGUCUGCUGUGAAAUCCCCGAGCUCAACUUGGGAAUUGCAGUGGAUACUGGCAGGCUGGAGUAUGGUAGAGGAAGGUGGAAUUCCCGGUGUAGCAGUGAAAUGCGUAGAGAUCGGGAGGAACACCAGUGGCGAAGGCGGCCUUCUGGACCAAUACUGACGCUCAUGCACGAAAGCGUGGGGAGCAAACAGG